rnacentral:rRNA from 1 species
UUAAGUAGACCGCCUGGGGAGUACGGUCGCAAGAUUAAAACUCAAAUGAAUUGACGGGGGCCCGCACAAGCGGUGGAGCAUGUGGUUUAAUUCGAUGCAACGCGAAGAACCUUACCUACUCUUGACAUCCAGAGAAUCUAGCGGAGACGCUGGAGUGCCUUCGGGAGCUCUGAGACAGGUGCUGCAUGGCUGUCGUCAGCUCGUGUUGUGAAAUGUUGGGUUAAGUCCCGCAACGAGCGCAACCCUUAU